AGGAUGCCGCUCAUCGUAUGAAAUAUUACACUUCGCAGCUGCAUUCCAGCGAGGUCUCAGGAACCGUUGGGAAUAUCGCUGGACCAGCGGCUUCGAAGAUGUAAUUGUAAAAGGUUAUUGGAGGAUUUGAAACGUGUUUCUGCAUAUGGUAAAACGUUUAACAGUGUGUAAAUGUAAUGUGUGUAAUCCCUACGGACAGAAGUGUUUCAGCCUAUGAUAAUAAACAGUGAGUAAUUGUAA